rnacentral:rRNA from 1 species
GACGAACGCUGGCGGCGUGCUUAACACAUGCAAGUCGAACGGAAAGGCCCUGCUUGCAGGGUACUCGAGUGGCGAACGGGUGAGUAACACGUGGGUGAUCUGCCCUGCACUUCGGGAUAAGCCUGGGAAACUGGGUCUAAUACCGGAUAGGAGCCAUUUUUAGUGUGAUGGUUGGAAAGUUUUUUCGGUGUAGGAUGAGCUCGCGGCCUAUCAGCUUGUUGGUGGGGUAAUGGCCUACCAAGGCGGCGACGGGUAGCCGGCCUGAGAGGGUGGACGGCCACAUUGGGACUGAGAUACGGCCCAGACUCCUACGGGAGGCAUCAGCGGGGAAUAUUGCACAAUGGGCGCAAGCCUGAUGCAGCGACGCCGCGUGGGGGAUGACGGCCUUCGGGUUGUAAACUCCUUUCGCUAGGGACGAAGCUUUUUGUGACGGUACCUAGAUAAGAAGCACCGGCUAACUACGUG